GGCCUUGGGGACUCCAAGGGGCCACUUUACUCCCCAAAAUAGGACAGUUUCUCCCCAAAAUAUAAAAUUUAUCGUGGUCCGCGGUCUCUGCUGCCACCGUGUGGCAAAUGUGCGGAACUGCACGCAUGGUGGUGUGCCGAAAACACCGCAUGCGUAAUGCUGUGAAGAGAAAAGCGCAUGCGUACAGGUGUGCCAAGAAAGGCGCAUGCGUAGCGUUGUGUCGAUGCAAAUGCAUGCGUAGGGCUGUGUUCCGACUGGCGGCCGGUGUGGAGGCGUGCCAGGAAUGGUGCACGCUGUGUCGGACUUGGCACGUGCGUAGUGUUUGCCGGAUCUGAUGGAUGCGUACUGCUUUGUCAACAACAGUACUUGCUUUGUAUUUUGGGUGCGGGCUUUUGUGCUGUUUUGGGGCAGUCUGGGGGUCCACGCAGCUUACAUCGAGGCACGGUGCAAUGAGUCAUACUGCUCAGGGUCUGAAUUUGGGGCGUUUGGGCUUUUUGUUGUCAUAGCAGGGAUCCAUCUGGGCCCUAGAUUUGGAGACAGGUUUGGGGCCAGGUGAUGAGGAUGGUCAAGCAUGACCUACCUUUCAUGAACCCGUGCUGACUAGGCCUGAUCUCCUGGACACUGCGCACAUGCCGUGCAAUCUCAUCCAAGAUGAUGUGCUCCAUAACCUUCCCUGGUACCAAGGUCAGGCUAACAGGCAUAUAGUUCCCCGGAUCCUCCUUACGGCCCUUCUUGAAGAUGGGAGUCACAUCAGCAAGCCUCCAAUCCUCUGGGACAUCACCAGUUAACCAGGAGCACUGAUAGAUCGCCGAGAGGGGCUCAGCAAUCACCCCCGCCAGCUCCCUCAGCACCUGAUGGUGCAGCCCAUCCAGUCCCAUGGACUUGUGACAGUCCAGACGGAGGAGAAGCUCUCUGACUAUCUCCACCAGAAUCGCUGGGGACAUAUUCUGAACAGCGUCCCAAACUUCCAGAUCGGGGCAUAAAAAACCCAGAGGAUAACUAGCCUGGCUAUUAAAGGCAGAUGUAAAGAAGGCAUUGAGGCCCUCAGCCCUCUCCUUGUCCUCAGUGACCACAUUCCCUGCUGCAUCAAGUAUAGGAUGAUAAUUAUCUUUGGUUCUUCUUCUGCCGUUGAUAUAUUUAUAAAAGGAUUUUCUUAUUGUCUUUUACUGCAGAGGCCAAUCUGAGUUCAAGUUGGGCUUUCGCCUUCUUAACUUCCUCCCUGCAUACCUUAACUACUUCUUUAUAAUCUCCCCAAGUAGCCUGCCCCUUCUUCCAGAGGAUGUAGGCUCUCUUUUUCUCCUUGAGUCUCAACAGUAAUUCCCAGCUCAUCCACACCAGUCAUCUACUCCUACGGCAUUCAGAGACAGCCUGUUCCUGUGCCUUUAAGAUUUCUGUCUUGAGGAGCGUCCAGGCUUCCUGGGCCCUUUUUACCCUUGAGAAGCGACUCCCAAAGGACCCGUGCUACAAGCACACUGAACAGAUCAAAGUCUGCCCUCUAGAAGUUCAAGAAGAUGGUUUUGCUGGUCACUCAUUCGACAUCCUCAAGAAUGGAUAAUUCUACAGUUCCGUGGUCACUCUGCCCAAGAUGGUCUUUAAUCUUCACUUCUCCCACCAGUAUUUCUCUGUUAGCAAAGACCAGGUCCAGCAGGGCACCGCCUACCAGUUGCGUAAGGAAGCUAUCUUCCACAAGUCUAUAAACCUCCUGGACUGCUUCCUCGGUGCUAUAUUACAUUUCCAACAUAUAUCGUCAACAUACAUCAUUCCUUGAUGUUUAACCUCAUUGAUACACACCAACAUCACCUCACAGCGUCACCCCACCACAUCACUGCAGUAUCAUCCCAAUCUCACCACAGUAUCAACCCUGAGCAUCACUCCAGCAUUACUCCUUGAUGUGUAUCACCUCAGUGAUACCCCCGGCAUCACCCAUCAUCUCAAUAACGUCACCCCAGCAACAGCCCCCGCUGUCAAUCCCAGUGAUACUCCAGCACUACAUCCCAACGUAACAGUACAUAGAGGCAAGUACCAGGUUCACCCACUGAGGACACGCAUAUAAUCAAAGAAUAUUAGGAUGUUAUAAUCACAAAAUAAAAAAGAGAGAUAGACAAAGUAAACUAUUAUAACAAAAGAGAAUAAUUGGAAGGCUUACCCUUAUGCUGAGUCCACCUGCAAAUCACCAGUAGGGGCAAUCUCCAGAACAAACCCUUCCCUACUCGUAGCCAGCUCUUAAAUAGGUCUAGGAGAGGUGCAGCCUGGCUCCACCCCUUCCGGCAACACAGGUGAAUUGAAUUGCCUUCACCUGUGCUCCUCUGGCUGACUCACGGCUCGCCUCAGGUGAUCAAUCAGAGGUUCAGGCCAUGACUCAGCAGUUCCCAUACAACACCAAAUCCUGAAAUAUUUUCACGAUGGUCUUUAAUUGCAAAGUGAGCAGGUGACACACAUUUCUCACUGGGAAGCCAUAAGCUGACCCUGGCAGUUUGGUCAACAGCACUUGCUCCAUUCACACCGGUAAUCUCAACCCUUUGCUGUCCAGGCUGCACACACAGCUUCUCUACAUCUUACUGUGUUUUGAAAUCUGUGCUCCCCUACCUAUUAGAAACAUCACCAAUUGUCUCUGAGGACAGAUUGGGAUCAAAAUACGUGGGCUGUCAUAGCUCAUCCACUGAUAAACCUCCCAUUGCUAGACAGGCAGACCCAAUUACCAAAAAAGUCAUUACUUUUUAUUUAUUUAUUUUUCUUUCUUCAUACCUUUAUGGGAACUGUGAGGUCACAGCCUGAAGCAGUGAUUAAGCACCUGUUGAGGGGUGUAGCCCUGCGAGCACAGGUGGAAGCAAUUCUCCUAUGGGACCAGAUAGGGCUGAGCCUGGCUCCACCCCUCCCUGAUCGUAUUUAAGGGCUGGCAGCCACAGAGGCAGCAUCUCUUCGUGGAGACUGCCUUCUUGGGAGCCUUGGGUGAGCCCUUGGAGUGUGGUGAGUGAUUCCUUCUGUGUUUCAAGGCUGUGGGCUUCUCUUUUUGUUAGAUCCUGCCCAUAUAGCCGUCAGCCCUUCAAUGUGGUCAGGAUCUGUAUCUGGAGGUUGUCUACUUUGGUGUGUGGGAUGUGUUUCCUUCUCUACUGUAGGGCCAUUAUCUCCCCUUUUUGGGGUAUUCUGAUCACUUUUAAGGGUUGGCAGCUGUAAGGGUAGUAGCUCUACCUGGGGACUGCUUCCUCUGGAGUGUGGGGUGAGCCCUUGGAGUGGGAUGAGUGGUUCCUUUUUUAUUUCAGGGCUGUGAUCCCUCCUUUCUUGGGGGAUCCUGACAGCAUUUAAAGGUUUGUAGCUGUAAGGAUGUUUUCUCUUCCUGGAGGCUGCCUCUUUGGGUAUGUGGGGUGAAUAUUUCCUUUGUUAUUUUGAGGUUGUGAGCUCUGUGUUUUUUGGGGGAUCCUGACCAUGUUUAAGGGCUGGUAGCUGUAAGGGCAGGGUCUCUGUCUAGAGAUUGCUUCCUUUAGAGUGUGGGGUGAGUGUUUAUCUUUGGAAUGGGGCAAUUGAUUUCCUCUCUGUUGUAGGGUUAUGAACUCCCCAUUUUUUAGAGGAUCCUGACCACGUUUAAGAGCUGGCAGCUGUAAGGGCAUCAUCUGUGCUUGGAGACUGCUUCCUUUGGGAUGUGGAGCAAGCACUUGGAGUGGGCUCGAUGGGGUUUAAGGAUUGCCAGGGCUCCUCUAAUCAGUGGUGUGAGAACUGCAGAGCAGGUAAUGGAACAUCCCAAGCCCCGUGUUGGCGCAUCGCUUGUAUACAGGCAGGUUUGUGAUGACUGUGGGGAGACUCACUUGGGGAUGGAAUAGGCUUAAAAUGGACUCGCUCCACUGGUUCUGUGCUCCCAUCCCUGUAAGCUCCAUGGCUGCUCAUAGAGUGAGGUGCAUCAUCUGGGACCUGAACCCCAGUGGCCAUUUGCUUCAUCCUCGCUCAGUAUAAUACAGUCUGCACUGCUCGAGCAUACUGACCACAGGUGUUCCGUUCCUGUCUUACGGUUCUCUCCAAUAUCUCCCUUAUGGAUUUGUCAGUGAUAAUGGAUCCCAGGGCAUCGUUGUCAGAGCACCUUGUGGCUGACCACCCCAGGGUCCUACAGCUCUUUCUGUUUUAAUGGCAGAUCUGGCUUUGUGUUAAUAAGAAAGAAAGGAUUGUCCUCUUCUGGAUGACUACAGUCAGGGUUUCCCCAGAUAUCUCAUCCCAUUUGUCAGGGAUGCUAUUAAUUUCCCAAACUCCCACCCCUCUUCCUCCCAUUCCCUGACCCACAUUAAGCAGCUCUGCAGCUCUGGGACCCAGCGGUGUGGCAAAAUGUGGCCCCUGGUCUGCUGAAUGCUGGAUCUGGCACAGAGAGGCUCUGUGACUGAUGUGGAGCAUCCCGACUGGAGUACUUGGUGCCAUUUAUGGUGAUCUGGUGUGACUCCCCCACAACAAACAAGGACAUCCACAACUGGAUCAGGUUGCUCAGAGCCUGACCUAGCCUCGCCUUGGAAGGGACAGGGUGACAAUCAUGUGUCUGGGUAACCUGUUCCACUGUGUCACCACCCUCACUGCACAAGAUUUUCUUUAUAUCUAAGCUAAAUUUUUUUCUUGUUCUUUCCUUUAGGUAUUGAAAGGCUGUUCCCAGAUCACCUCGGAACCUUCACUUCUCCAGGCUGAACAGCUCCAGCUCUCUCUCUCUUUAUAGGAAAGGCGUUCCAUCCCUCGGUUCAUAUCUGUGGCCAUUCUCUGGACGUGCUCUAACAGCUCCACGUCUGUCCUGCACUGCAGGCAUCCACAUCCACACACAGCACCUCCAGGUGAGGCCUCCCAGCACAGAGCAGAGGGGCAGGACCACCUCCCUUCGCCUGCUGACCGCACAUCUUUGGAUGGAGCCCAGCAUACGGUUGGCUUUCUGGGCUGGAAGGCGCGUUGCUGAGUGCCACUACUCAGCCUGUUGAGGUCCCUCUGGAUGGCAUCCCGUCCCUCUGGCAUGUCACUGCACCCCACAGCUCGGUGUCAUUAGGGUGCACUCCACCCUACUGUCAAUGUCACUGAUGAAGGGGCAAUCCCAGAUGUUUGUGCAAACUCAGCAAAGAACACCUUGAGAGCAGCCCCACAGAGAAGGAUUUGCGGAUCCCGGUGGAUGAGAAGCUGGACGUCAGCCAGCAGAGCGGGCUUGCAGCCUGGAAGGCCAGCUGUGUUCUGGGCUGCAUUAAAAGAGGAGCGGCCAGCAGGGAGAGUGAGGUGAUCGUCCCCAUCUGCUCUGCUCUUGUGAGGCCCCAUCUGCAGCGCUGCAUCCAGGCCUGGGGCCCCCAGCACAGGAAGGACGUGGAGCUCACGGAGCGGGUCCAGAGAAAGGCACUGAGAUGAUCAGAUGGUUGGAGCAGCUCUCCUACAAGGAAAGGUUGAGGGAAGUGGGCUUGUUCAGCCUGGAGAAGAGAAGGCUUGGGGGGGACCUCAUUGCAGCCUCACAGUACUUGAAGGGAAUGUAUAAGCAGGAAGGGGAAUGGCUGUUUACAAGGGUGGAUCGUGAUAGGACAAGGGGAAUGGUUUUAAUGUGAGACAGGGGAGGUUUAGGUUGGUUAUUAGGAGGAAGCUUUUCACACAGAGGGUGGUGACGCACUGGAACGUGCUUCAGAGUCCCUUCCAGGAGGAUCUGCUCCAUGACUUUUUGCAGCACAGAGGUGAGACUGACAUGUUGGCAGUUCCCAGGGUCACACUUUAUAUCUGCAGUAACAGCUGUGCUGUCACCUUUUUUCUGCUCACCAGGGACUUCACCUGACUGCCUCGACUUCUCAAAUACCACUGAGAGUGGCUCGGUGACUGCAGCACUGAAUUCCCUCAGAGCUCUGGGACUCGUCUCAUCAGGACCCAAAGACUCCUGGAUGCUCGGGUCCUCAGGUGGCAGCAGGCUGCGGCGCUCCUGAGUGCCAUAAGGACUGCAUGGAGAUGCGUGGCUCUUAUGGGAGCAGCAAGGAACCGGAAUCUGCAUUUCCUGGAAUGCCUGGAACCCUGCUUUGCUGGCUGGUAAUUGUCUGCCCAGCAGGUGAAGAUGCCUUCGACGCUUCCAGUCGAUGACUUCCCCCCUGCGACGCCAUCGGCUUUCCAGGCCUCCCACACUCACUGCCAGCUCGGUUCGGUCAACCGUUACCCGAAUCCCCGCUCCGUUCCCUUUCCAUGAUCUUCCCGUCACUCUGCCACAAGCCCCUACCAAGGUCAUCGCAGGCAGCGUGCGGGAUGCGGCGCUCGGUCUCAUUGCAGUUCAUCCCAUCGGCCUCAGCCCAGCGAUCCAACCCACCCGCACCCUUCCUGAGGGCCCUUCUGCUCCCAGGCCAAUCAACGCUUCCUUCUGAUGCCAUCUGCGUUCCUUCCAGGCCAUUUUCAGACUCCUGCCCCUUUGUGGCCAUUUUGAGAGUUGUGCUGAUUUCAGCAUGUGCAUUCAAUUGACUUCAACCAAAUUGGCUUUAGCUUGACAUUCAAUUAAUGUAAACCAAAUUGGCUUUAGCUUUACAUUCGAUUGACUUCAACCAAAUUGGCUUUAGUUUUACAUUCAAUUAAUGUAAGCCAUAUUGGCUUUAGCUUUGCCUUGGUUACGGGGUUGGGUUAGCCUUGCUUUGUUUGUUCCUAGGCAGGGCUACCCCAACCCCGUAACCAAGGGCCAUUGGAGGCGAUUUUGUUCCUUCCUGGCCAGUCUGAGACUCGCGCCCCAUUGCGGCCAUUUUGAGAGUUGUGCUGAUUUCAGCAUCUGCGUUCAAUUUAUCUCAACCAAAUUGGCUUUAGCCUUGCAAUCAUUUUGCAUCAACCAAAUUGGCUUUAGCUUUGCAUUCAAUUGACUUCAACCAAAUUGGCUUUAGCCUUGCAUUCAAUUGACUUCAACCAAAUUGGCUUUAGCUUUACAUUCGAUUGACUUCAUCCAAAUUGGCUUUAGCUUUACAUUCAAUUAAUGUAAGCCAAAUUGGCUUUAGCUUUGCCUUGGUUACGGGGUUGGGCUAGCCUUGCUUUGUUUGUUCCUAGGCAGGGCUACCCCAACCCCGUAACCAAGGGCCGUCGGAGGCGAUUUUGUUCCUUCCCGGCCAGUCUGAGACUCGCGCCCCAUUGCGGCCAUUUUGAGAGUUGUGCUGAUUUCAGCAUCUGCGUUCAAUUUAUCUCAACCAAAUUGGCUUUAGCCUUGCA